rnacentral:tmRNA from 1 species
GGGGCUGUACCGGAUUCGACGGGGAUGAUGAAUCCUGGGUAGCGGGUAGUGCCGGAUGCCACUUUAAUCCGUCCGAUUUUUUUAAAAUAAACGCUAAUAACGAAUUAGUAGCUGCCUAAGGCGGCCGUCCUGCUUUUGAGUACCGUGGCUUAAGUUAGGGCGAAUAUCAGCGGUGAACGUGAGCUGGUUUUUGUUUCGGGACCUGCCAUGAAUUAGAAACUACUAAAAGCGUGAGUUUGACUGUGGACUUGCGCCGGAGGGAAUGUUGACCACAGUCUACACCCGUAGAAGCCUGGGGGGAUUUGUUUUCGGACAGGAGUUCAACUCUCCUCAGCUCCACCA